UCCUACGGGAGGCAGCAGUGAGGAAUAUUGGUCAAUGGGCGGGAGCCUGAACCAGCCAAGUCGCGUGAGGGAUGACGGCCCUACGGGUUGUAAACCUCUUUUGCCGGGGAGCAAUGCUCCGCACGAGUGCGGAGCGGGAGAGUACCCGGAGAAAAAGCAUCGGCUAACUCCGUGCCAGCAGCCGCGGUAAU
rnacentral:rRNA from 1 species